rnacentral:rRNA from 1 species
AUUUCCGGUUGAUCCUGCCGGACCCGACUGCUAUCGGAUUGGGAUUUAGCCAUGUUAGUUGCGCGUUCUCUGGCUACAGGGGACGCAGCGCACGGCUCAGUAACACGUAGUCAACCUGCCCUGGAGACGUGGACAAACCCGGGAAACUGGGGCUGAUCCACGAUAGAUGACUUCAUCUGGAAGGAGAGGUCGUCCAAAAGGCGGCGCGAGUAUGCUUCGCGUCUUCCGCUCCAGGAUGGGACUGCGGCCGAUCAGGCUGUUGGCGGGGUAAUGGCCCACCAAACCUGUAACCGGUACGGGCUUUGAGAGAAGGAGCCCGGAGAUGGACACUGAGACAAGGGUCCAGGCCCUACGGGGCGCAUCAGGCGCGAAAACUUCACAAUGCGCGAAAGCGUGAUGAGGCUAGUCCGAGUGCCUUCCGCUGAGGAGGGCUUUUCUCGGCUGUAAAUAGGCCGGGGAAUAAGGGGAGGGCAAGUCUGGUGUCAGCCGCCGCGGUAAUACCAGCUCCUCGAGUGGUCGGGACGAUUAUUGGGCCUAAAGCACCCGUAGCCGGUUCAGUAAGUCCUCUGUUAAAUCCAACCGCUCAACGGUUGGUCCGCAGAGGAUACUGCUGGACUAGGAGGCGGGAGAGGCGGACGGUACUCCGCGUGUAGGGGUAAAAUCCUUUGAUCCGCGGAAGACCACCAGUGGCGAAGGCGGUCCGCCAGAACGCGCUCGACGGUGA